AGUAGAAAAGAGAAGGGAAUAUUACAAAUCCUGUCCAAUGGAGUUGAAAAAAGAGUAUGAUGGCCUUGAGCCAGUGACCCCUUUGGGUCUAUACUUCAACGGCAAAGCGUUAUGGCUUUCUUUUCUUGGCAUUUUGGAAUCCGAAAUUCCAAUCGAUGACUCCCAAACUACGUCGCUGAUCAAAGAUGUUUUCCUCUUAAUCAAUCCAUGCUUCUCUUCGAUCAUGGAUAUUUGAUGGGAAAGAAGGGAGGAAGAAAAUGGAAGAAGGUGGAAGUGAAUGUGGACUUAGAUCAGCCACAUAGUUUGGGAGUCAUCGAUUGGAAUUUCGAAUUCUAGAAUGCCAAGAAUAGAACCGACAACACUUUACUGUUGAAGUAUUGUCCUAAAGGGAAUAUUAUCAGGUGACUAUGUGCAUGAUCACAUAUUUUGAAUGAAGAAACCCCAAUUCACUGCACAUACUUGGGAAAAGGAUAUCACAAAUGCCAUAACUUUUGUAUAACGUUCAGUUGAGUAUCACAACUUUUUUUCGAUCACAUGAGUACCAUAACUUCUUUUUUUCUAAUCACUUGUUAUCGUAUAACUUUUCAAUUAAUCAUUGGAAUGCCAUUACUUUUUAAAAAUGCUCACCACAACUGUCAUGCCACAUCAAAUUUCCAACGCUAGGGUAUACAUCUUUAAAAAUUUAUGGCAUUCAAAUAAUCGAUUGAAAGUUAUGGUACUCAAAUGAUAAAAAAAAAAAAAAAUUAUAGCACUCAAGUAAGUAUCAUAUGAAAGUUAUAGCACUUGUGGUGUCCUUAUCCCCACAUACUUGGAUAUUAUUUUGGUUUUCUUUUGUCUUGGAUAGAUGAUGGGAAAGGAGGAAGCAAAUGGAAAAAAGUGGAAGUGAAUGUGGAACGUCCCCGGUUUUUCCUCUCCAAAGGGUUCAUCAUCUCCAUCCAAGAAUUGACUUCCUCAAAAGUAACAUUUCACAAAUAGCAAUGCAAGCAAUUCCACAAGGCCAAACAUUGUGGGAAAUACAUAUUAUCAGGUGUCCAACCAGUGAAGCAUAAGGAACCCCAAUUUUCAAGAUUCACCAUGCCCUUCGGCUAUUCUCUUUUGGGUUCUCUCGUGUCUUGCCUUCAAAAAGUUGACGGUCCUUCUCUUCCAGUAAAGUUUCCCUCAUUCAAUAAAGGAUGACAGAAGCAUUACUUUGGCGUUGGAGUGGGAACACGGAGAUUAUCUCUGGUGGAGGAAGAUGGUAACUCUUGGAGAGUUGAGCACCUCUACUCAAGGAUUGAAAGGCAUAAUGGCAAGCAGAAUAGCUGCCGAAGUGGCUGAUGGUUCGUCCGACCGUCCCAAGAUUUGGAGGCUUUCAUUCAUGUAACUUCGGGUCAAGUCAACAAUAAAAGCAUUCUGCCGAAGUGGCUGAUGGUUCUUCCAACCUUCCCCAGAUUUGGAGGGCUUUCAUUCAAGUAAUUUCGGGUCAAGUCAACAGUAAAAGCUGAAAAUCCACAUCUAUAGAAAGAGAAGGAUGAUGGGACUUAUCCUACAAAUGUCUCAUUCCGUUUAGCGAAUUUUGAUCUUGGACGCCGUAGCUGUUUCUAGUUUCUUAUCUCAUUACUCAUGUUGUGGACCACUAUUUGGGGAAUUUUAUAAAACAUGGCUUAUGAGCGUGACGAUCAAAAGUUGGUGCCGGAAUUA